GACGAACGCUGGCGGCGUGCCUAAUACAUGCAAGUCGAGCGAACCGACGAGGUGCUUGCACCUUUGACGUUAGCGGCGAACGGGUGAGUAACACGUAAGGAAUCUACCUAUAAGUGGGGGAUAACAUCCGGAAACGGGUGCUAAUACCGCAUAAUAACCGACACCACAUGGUGUAGGGGUAAAAGAUUUAUCGGUGUGAGAUGGAUCCGCGUCUGAUUAGCCAGUUGGCGGGGUAACGGCCCACCAAAGCGACGAUCAGUAGCCGGCCUGAGAGGGUGAACGGCCACAUUGGGACUGAGACACGGCCCAA
rnacentral:rRNA from 1 species